UCACCUUCAUCUACUUCGCUGCCUUCGC
rnacentral:piRNA from 1 species